GUCAGACUUUGUUUUCUCACACACUUCACGUGCCCCUUUCACUUCUGCGCCAUCUGGCAACGCAAACUUUGAAAGCUCCCUUUGAUUUUUCAAAAUAGUGGCUUGGUACUCUCUCUCACCUGCACAUGCUUUAUUUUUUUUUAUUUAACCCGGUAGAAAACCAAUUGAGAUCGAAAUCUAAUUUGUGACCUGGCCAAGAGGUCACCCUUGUUCACCCCGGAUUAGAUAUAGGAGACGGGUUACAAACAAUAAAAUUCCCUUGAGGUCCUGGAACUAUGCCAAUAUCGCAUUUUGGCCACACCUGACCUCCUUGCCAAUUUUCAGGAGUUUCUAAGCAAGUUAACCCCCUCAAAAAUGACCAGAAAUCCUAAGGAUAUUAUUAUUAUUAUAAUAAUAAUAAUAAUAAUCCUCACAGUCACUGCUUCUGUCUGCCAUUGUUAGUGGCUCAGCCCCUAAUUAGUCAUUUUUACACGCGCACACACACAUACCAGUUAUUGAAAGGGGAUUUGUCCUCCACAUUUAACUCAUCCUUAUUACACACCAGUUGUGAACACACACAAGCCAUUGGGUGCCUCAGCCUAACCAUCCUGGGGUUGAACCAGAGACCUUCCAGUAACUAGCCCAAUUCUUUUCCUCUUGGCCAUGGACUGUAAUGCCCGAUAGUUCUUACCUCAGUAAGAAGUGGUCAUUUAAUUAUCCUCCUGCUUUCCCCAGUGCUUGCUGCUAAAACCCCCUAAAUGACCCAUGUGACACAGCUCUCCCGCCCGCUCCACACGUCAGGCGCCAUCUGACCUUGACUGACCCAGUAGCUGAGGGGGCGUUAAGCCCAGUCACCUGAUUCAAGCCUUUUAAUAUGACUGGGCAUUUCCUCAGUGCCUAUGUCCAUUGCUCAGUUGUCCUCAGCUUCCCUUUAAAAAAGAAAAAGAAAAAAAGCUGUUUUUGUUUCUUAAAUGCAUUCCAGUACCUUUGUGGGAUCCUUAAUUAGUAUUUGUUUCAGUAUCAACAGGCAGACUUUUAACUUUCUUCUAUAUUCCAGCAUAAACGUAUGGUAUCAUAAGGCAAGAAGGAAGUGAGAAGUGCAAAUUACUUAUAACGGAACAAUAAGAAAAACAUGUUGACAGAGUAAAACUGAUGGGGGUACAUUAGAAGUUGAAGUCCAUAGUGUAAUGAAAUGAGAGCAAAUACUUAACAGUCGCAGUAAAUGGUGCAUGGCGCAAAAAAUAUUGGUUUUGUUCAAAUCAAUAAAACAGAACCGAGUGAAUGUUACGCCGAGGUUCAGACAUGAACAUGAAUGUGCUGCCUUUUGAGCGCACCAAUACAAAUAUGUGUGCGUGUGUGUUUGCACCACAGUGACCUUGACGCCUGUAACGACAACAGCCUCUCAGGUGACUGCCGGCGUCCACUGUUUUUGUUGAACGUCUGCUGCCAAACACAAGAGCAGGAAAACCCUCACCUCUGCCCCACUUCAUCAGCUCCUUGCAACAUCUGACCCUGUUGUUGCCGCUCACGUGUGUGAGAGGGAAACAUUGAAGGAUGUUGGUCCAGUGUUCCUCGUCGAUAAACGGAAGGAUCUGAACGAGAGUAACGAGAUUCUGCAUCAUGAUAACAAACACGAUUGCUAAGUAGCUUUGUUGUGAUACAUUAAUGGCUGUGGUCCAUUAAAUGUGGUGCUCAUUGUUUACGUUUUCCGGCGGUUUGUCGCUGAGAUUCAUACAACGUGUCCUUAUAGCUGCAGGUCAAAACCAUAUCUGGUUGUGUCAUCCUGUGGAGUCUUUUGAUCAUACAUCAAACAGCAGGAAGUGUGGCAUUUGAUGAAAACGUUGUUAUCUGCUGCCACUGUAAUGACCUACUCAGCCCUCGUGUCGCUCAGUCGGUGUUGUGUUUGUUUUUUCUCGAGGAGCCUGUGUACACACACACACACACACACACACACACACACACACACACACACACACACACGUUAUUUUGAACAAGACAAACCCAUCGAAGUAGCACAUGGGUAUAUUAAUUAGUCUUGACUUGUAUUGUUAAACAGAUAAUUACCUCCUUUGUGAUGAUGUGUGUGCUGAGCUAAGGAUGCAUACUAAUUAAUUUCUGAAUGUGCAAAAUUGAUGAGAGGCAGUGCAUGUCCCUCUUGUUGUAAUUGCACUUAAGUGCAUUUAAGCACAAUUCUGCCAUUGUCAACGUUGUCUCCACAUAAUACAACUU